rnacentral:rRNA from 1 species
CCUACGGGGGGCAGCAGUGGGGAAUAUUGGACAAUGGGGGCAACCCUGAUCCAGCCAUGCCGCGUGUGUGAAGAAGGCCCUCGGGUUGUAAAGCACUUUCAGUGAGGAAGAACGCCUGGUGGUUAAUACCCAUCAGGAAAGACAUCACUCACAGAAGAAGCACCGGCUAACUCCGUGCCAGCAGCCGCGGUAAUACGGAGGGUGCGAGCGUUAAUCGGAAUUACUGGGCGUAAAGCGCGCGUAGGUGGCUUGAUAAGCCGGUUGUGAAAGCCCCGGGCUCAACCUGGGAACGGCAUCCGGAACUGUCAAGCUAGAGUGCAGGAGAGGAAGGUAGAAUUCCCGGUGUAGCGGUGAAAUGCGUAGAGAUCGGGAGGAAUAUCAGUGGCGAAGGCGGCCUUCUGGACUGACACUGACACUGAGGUGCGAAAGCGUGGGUAGCAAACAGGAUUAGAUACCCGUGUAGUC